ACGACUACAUUAGAUACCCCUGUAGUCCCAGCCCUAAACGAUGCGCGUUAGGUGUAUCGGUGACCACGAGUCACUGAGGUGCCGAAGGGAAACCGUGAAACGUGCCGCCUGGGAAGUACGGUCGCAAGGCCGAAACUUAAAGGAAUUGGCGGGGGAGCACCACAACGGGUGGAGCCUGCGGUUUAAUUGGACUCAACGCCGGGAAGCUCACCGGAUAAGACAGCGGAAUGAUUGCCGGGCUGAAGACCCUGCAUGACCAGCUG
rnacentral:rRNA from 1 species